ACCACCGCCACCGGCACCAUCACCAUCAAAUUCAUAACACUACUACUGCUGCACCGUCGGCACCGUCUAAACCAGCUGCACCACCAAAUUCAUACGUAAUCAUAAUCAAUUUACUCCAGCGAUUUGUGGCCUGACCAUUGAUUUAAGGAGCCUAAUUGCUGAACGGAUGAACAAAAUAUUCAGAGAUAAUCUAUGAUUGCUGUAGGAGUUCAAUUGUUCUCCCGAGAAAAUGUGACAAAAAUUCCAGGAUUUGGUGAAGGGUGUGCUUGAUACUGCUGCCGCAAUACGUGAUGGGGGUUAUGCAAAGGCUAGAGUGAAAGGAUUGUCUUCUGGAAGUGAGUCGGUUUAUGUUCUUACUCACUGCUGGGAGAUAUUUAAUGCUAGCUCAUGCAAAGCGUGUUUGGAGAGAGCAUCAACCUUAGUGGUCGGAUGUUAUCGUAUUCAGAGGGACGAGCACUUGAGACAGGAUGCUUCAUGACUCAUGAGGUAUUCAAACACAAAUUUCCUUGACAAAGAACGAACAAUUGAAAGCUUGGAAGGUACUACAGAAGCAAUUAAUGUAUCCACAUUGUAUUAAUAGAAUUAUAAUUAAGGGGAUAUGAUGUCAUAAAACCAAACUGCACUCUUGACAUGACUUUGGACCUCUACUGAACAUUGCAGUAAGCCCAGGAGUGUUGCUGAUCUUAUUUUUGAGUUCUUUGGCUGGCUGUUGUAAAGGUAGGGUAGUAAUUGGAGUCCUUAAGCUUAAAAAGGAUAAGCAAUAAAC